UACGUAGGGUGCGAGCGUUGUCCGGAAUUAUUGGGCGUAAAGAGCUCGUAGGCGGUGUGUCACGUCGGCCGUGAAAACCUGCAGCUUAACUGUGGGCGUGCGGUCGAUACGGGCAUCACUGGAGUUCGGCAGGGGAGACUGGAAUUCACGGUGUAGCAGUGAAAUGCGUAGAUAUCGUAAGGAAGACCAGUGGCGAAGGCGAGUCUCUGGACAGUUGCUGACGCUGAGGCACGAAGGCCAGGGGAGCAAACGGG
rnacentral:rRNA from 1 species